rnacentral:rRNA from 1 species
CACGUAGGGUGCGAGCGUUUGUCCGGAAUUAUUGGGCGUAAAGAGCUCGUAGGCGGUGUGUCGCGUCGGCCGUGAAAACCUGCAGCUUAACUGUGGGCUUGCGGUCGAUACGGGCAUCACUGGAGUUCGGCAGGGGAGACUGGAAUUCCUGGUGUAGCGGUGAAAUGCGCAGAUAUCAGGAGGAACACCGGUUGGCGAAGGCGGGUCUCUGGGCCGAAUACUGACGCUGGAGGGAGCGAA